ensembl:lncRNA
AGCAACACCAAUCCAAAUUCCCUCCAUGUGACUUGAUAUCUGUAUUCUUGGAGAGACGUCUUUCUUUGUCUGGGACUGUGAGCUGAAAUUAUGAUACGGGCUUGGAGAGCUCUGAGAGAAAAGCUUUGUGAGAAAGAAGCCACAGAGGGUUCAAGCACAGCCAAGAGAAGGAGAGCUCAGUCUUGAUGUACCCCAAAGUCCAGCUGCAUAGGAGUCUGGCUCCACUCUUUGGACUCUUCCGUUAGAAAAAGCCAUUUGAUCCAGCUUUGGGCUGGGAUUUGGUGUUUACUCCAAAGGAAAGAAUGAAACAUCUUUCCUCCCUCCCUUCCACCUACGCCCUGUGUAAGGAUGGCAUCGUGUUUCCAAAAACUGAAACUUUCUCACCCUGAGGAAGGGAAACAAGUUACGUGCUGCUGACGAUUUGGAGAUCUGUCUAUCGAGCCAUUAUGCUCCUCUAUACUUCAUCAAGGAUCAUGUGAUAGAAAGAAAGUGGGAUUUUGCAUGUUGGAAGAAUAAAGAAGGUUUGGUUUGGAACCAACUAGAGUAGGAAGAAGCCAACUAGAAGAGGCUCUAGGUCAAAAUCCAGAGGCUUCACCCUUGUUCCUAGAAGUCCUCUCUAGAAAGUCCGAGUCAGCAGACAGAGAGAGAAACUGCUGGGAGGGACAACAUCCAAGUGCCCUGAACCCAGGCUGAGCCCAAGACCUGACUCUGGCCACUUGGGCCAGAAACACCCACCGAGUUACUGUCCGUGGUGGACAGGAACAUCACUUAGCCUGCACCCAGGAGAUCCCUAACUGCCCAGGUCUAUUGAGAUGCAGCCAAGUUCUGCCUGUGCCUCAAGUCUUCUGAAGCUACAUAAUUUGACUGCUUUGAAGAUACUUCCCACAAUGCUUCAGCCCAAGAAAACCACUAGACCCCUCUUGGAGGGGAGGAGGUUAUGGAAAAGAAUUUCUGUAGCUAUAUUUUCAGGCCAUGCUGGGCAUCCUAGGGUGUUCAAAGCAGGGAGAUUAGAGUGGGCUAAUAAUCCUCACAUGAGUAUUAGCAAAGGAUGGAAAAACACUCGUAGGACAUCCGAGAGCAAUCAGGAAUCUAUAGGCAGUCUAUGCAUUUAUUUCACUUUCUCAUUACCUAAAACAGUAAACUCCAAAAUUUUGUAAUUGAAAAUCCAUUCAGUAAAAAUUUUGAACAUGCAUUCCCUAAUUACUUAUACUUACUUAUUUGUGAGUUACAUACGUAUACCAUAGUUCUAAUAAUAUGUAUAUUAUAAAACAUACCAAAAAAGGAUAUUUUUUAAAGAUACAAUAAAGAAACAAAUAAUGUUUCUACUAAAUAUCUUGCUGAGUACAUUAUUGGCCAAUAUGUAUUUAGGGUAACUUUUGACAUUAGCAACAGCGACAUAAAUUCAUAUUUUAAAUAAUUUUCUUGAUUUCAAUUUUUUGGGCCAACAUCGUAUUGGAUGAUUACAUUGUCACUAUUUUUACCUCAUGUUGUAUCUUAUAAAGAUCUUGCACCAAAAGUAGAAGUGUUGGCUCUACCAUCUGCCCAUGCAUUGCAUGUUGUUUGCAUUAUCAGUGCCACCUUAAACCCACAGUUUCAUUUCAGAACUUUCUUAAGCUAUUUGUCCAUUUUGUGCAGGUUAACUGAGAUAUAGCUAAGAAAUAUAAUCAGUAAACCCAUUUAAUCAGACAGUGUAUGCACAUUAGAAACAAGCAAGGGAGUGGGUCCCCACUGUCAGUACUCCCAUCUGGUAAAGCCUCCACUCAUGCUUCAGGGUACUUCGAGUCCUACAAGGCACGUGACCGCACACCAUAUAGACCAAGUGAGAUGAGGGUCCAGUGUCGCUCCAUAGAUAAUACCAGCAAAUGUUUUAUUUGCUUUUUAGAUAACAAGCAAAAUAAAAUAGGAAUUCUACUAUUUUCCCAACAGCCUAGUGGAUCAUAUGCCACAGCCCCACCCACGUCACAGACCCCAUUAUAGAGAUGACUAGCCUCACAGCAGGGGCUAUGUCACCUUCUAGCACCUCUCCCCAUUUUCCCUAGCCCUGCAGCUAGAGAAACAUAGCUCCCAUCAUCAAAUCUUCCCAUUACCUAUCUGAUAAAAUCCAGAUUCCUUAGCUUAGCCCUGAAACUUUUGUGCCCAAUUGCUGUACCUUUCCAGCUUUAUCCCUUUCUCUUUCUCCCACAUAAACCCUACAGCCGGCACCAACAGUCACUUCUCUAACAGACCAGAUUCUUUUAGGUCUUUGCAGUUGCUCUUUUGUCUGCCACGAAUGUCACCCUUUAACUUCGCCUUCCUACAAAUCUCCAACUCGUUCUUCCAACUCCAAGUCAUAUGUUCCCACUCUGUAACCCAUGGAAUGGCCUCCAUCAACUCAAGGUACAAGGACAGUCACAUCUUUUUUCUUUUUCCAGUUAAUUAUUUAAGCACUCAUCUUUCUCUUGGGACUUUCCCACACCCCUUAAACCUCUUCUAACAAAUCAAGGGGCUUACUUCCUCCCAGAAGGAACAGUCCACUGCCAAAGACCUGUAGAGAUCAUUGGAGUCCUAUCUCCACCUCUACUGUUGCCUCUCCUUGCCGCAUUGUCUUGUCUUGGAAACCUUGGGCACUUAUCCUCUCUGUACACAUCUCAGUCAUUUGUCCCCUGUACACAGCCCCAGGGACACUUGUCCACUCUGCUGCAAUGCUUCAGCUGGUCCAAGCCCCUUCAUAGGCCCUGCACUUGGCCUCCAGGGCACCUUCUUUAGGUCCACAUCCCUACAACCAUCCAUGGCUCCCAAAGUUCAAAUCCUCAAAAGGUGGUGGGUCCAGAAAGUCUUCCAACUUCAAAGACACCCUGGGCUAAACCAGGACUCCAACAAAAAACACUUGGCCCUUUAGGUUGAAACCUCAUCACCAGUGUAAACAAAUUUCUUGAAAGUAAUUUGAUUUUACGGGGCUGUUAUCCAUUCCUGCCUCUACCACCAGUUUCCUGUCUACUCUGGGCUCCCUUCACAAGUUGAUCAUCACCUCCUUGACUAUCAACUCUGCAUACCAAGGGGUAAGGCAGCUUCUGCUAAGCCACUCAAAAACACGAGGGUCUUGCUACACCUUUACCUCAGAACACCUUCAAAUGUAGCAGGUCCCUCAAUAUCUGCAUUUAGUUCUACCUGUACUGAGAACAGCUGGCUGCUUAUUGAACUAAAGGAAAGGAAAAGCUCAUCUCCAAGAGCCCACCAAUCCCCACCUCAUGUAUGUAAGGUCUUCCCUGAUCACCCUCAACAUGCAGCCACAAAGCAUCAGAUACUCCAUCUUCCAUGUGGCCAUAGCACUUGCUCCAUAGACUACAUUAUGGACUGAAGAGUAUCCCUCAAAAACUCAUAUGUUGAGCUCCUAAUUCCAACACCUCAGACUGUGACCGUCUUCAGAGACAGUCUUCACAGAGAUGAUUCAGUUAAAAUGAGGUCAUUAGGAUUGUCCCUAUUCCAAUAUGACUGGCUUCCUUAAGAAGAAAAAGAAAUUUGGACACAGACACACACAGAGGGAGGACAAUGUGAAGACACAAGGAGAAGACAACCAUCUACAAGCCAAGGAAAAAGGUCUCAGAAGAAACCAACACUGCCUACACCCUGAUCUCAGAUUUCUAGCCUCUAGAACAGUGAGAAAAAAAUUCUGUUGUUUAAGCAACACUGUGGUACCCUGUUACUGCAGCCUUAGCAAACUAACAUAGGUCAAUUUUCUCUACUAAGGGGCGGACUCUCUGGUAACUGGGUCUUAUUCAUCACUGUAAUUUUUAAGGCCUUGAACAGUCCCUGGCCUAAACUAAAUGCUCCUAGCAUGUUAGUUAGUGAAAGGAGGGGAAGAUUAGGGGACAGGGAAGGAGGCGUGAUGGGGCCUGAGCCUUGGAAAUUGCCUGUGAAAUUGUAUAAAUAAAAAUUUAUAGUCUG